UACGAAGGGGACUAGCGUUGUUCGGAUUUACUGGGCGUAAAGCGCGCGUAGGCGGAUCGCUAAGUCAGGGGUGAAAUGCCGAGGCUCAACCCCGGAACUGCCUUUGAAACUAGAUUGCUAGAAUCCUGGAGAGGUUAGUGGAAUUCCGAGUGUAGAGGUGAAAUUCGUAGAUAUUCGGAAGAACACCAGUGGCGAAGGCGACUAACUGGACAGGUAUUGACGCUGAGGUGCGAAAGCGUGGGGAGCAAACAGG
rnacentral:rRNA from 1 species